rnacentral:rRNA from 1 species
CUUAUGACUCUCGGCAACGGAUAUCUCGGCUCUCGCAUCGAUGAAGAACGUAGCAAAAUGCGAUACNUGGUGUGAAUUGCAGGAUCCCGUGAACCAUCGAGUUUUUGAACGCAAGUUGCGCCCGAUGCCUUUUGGUUGAGGGCACGUCUGCCUGGGCGUCACGC